rnacentral:rRNA from 1 species
CCUACGGGAGGCUGUAGUGAGGAAUAUUGGUCAAUGGCCGGAAGGCUGAACCAGCCAAGCCGCGUGAAGGACGAAGGUGCCAAGCAUUGUAAACUUCUUUUGUCAAGGGACAAAAUCAGGCUCGAGAGCCUGACCGAGGGUACUUGAAGAAAAAGCAUCGGCUCACUCCGUGCCAGCAGCCGCGGUAAUACGGAGGCUGCGCGCGUUAUCCGGAGUUAGUGGGUUUAAAGGGUGCGUAGGCGGGCUGUUAAGUCAGCGGUAAAAGCCCGGGGCUCAACCCCGGCGAGCCGUUGAAACUGGCUGUCUUGAGAUGUCGAGAGGUAUGCGGAAUGCGCAGUGUAGCGGUGAAAUGCUUAGAUAUUGCGCAGAACUCCGAUGGCGAAGGCAGCAUACCGGCGGUGAUCUGACGCUGAGGCACGAAAGCGUGGGUAUCGAACAGGAUUAGAUACCCGAGUAGUC